rnacentral:rRNA from 1 species
UACGUAGGGUGCAAGCGUUGUCCGGAAUUAUUGGGCGUAAAGAGCUCGUAGGCGGUUUGUUGCGUCGGCUGUGAAAUCCCGAGGCUCAACCUCGGGUCUGCAGUCGAUACGAGCAAACUAGAGUGUUGCAGGGGAGACUGGAAUUCCUGGUGUAGCGGUGAAAUGCGCAGAUAUCAGGAGGAACACCGGUGGCGAAGGCGGGUCUCUGGGCAACAACUGACGCUGAGGAGCGAAAGCGUGGGAGCGAACAGG